rnacentral:snRNA from 1 species
GUGCUCUCUUUGUCAACACAUAUACUAAAAUUGGAAUGGUACAGAGAAGAUUAGCAUGGCCUUGAACAAGGAUGACACACAUAUUCAUGAAGCAGUCCAUAAUUUU